GGCUGAUUUCAACAAAGAUUUCCCUAAAGCACAGAGAGGGCAGAGGUGACAACCAGGUCUCACCCUGGGCCCCAGCCUUGGCCCACAGCUCUCCUGGAUGCACUGAAUUUACUGAUAAGGCAUCUGGGGCUGGUGAAGAGAGGACAGGAGGGGUGAGAGCUCCUUCCCCAAAGCACAGGGCCUUCAGACUGGCAGGGGAGGCCCAGAGGGACAUGGGUGGCCCGAGGAGCCCACCAGGCAUCUGAUGGCAAGUGUGGCCACACGUGGAUGGGGGCACAAACUCCACCCACCUGGCUCCCACCCAUGAGGGUCCCCAAGACUGUGGCACUUACUCUCCAGCUUCCUCCAGUUCAACUCCAGGGCAAACUAUGGCUUUCUCUUCCACAGAGAUUGCUGUUUCAUCUAAAAGACAAAUCACAUGAGAAGAAAGUCAGUGCACACAUCAGUCCAUUUGUCCAUCACCUUCCACCUGCCCUCGGCAAGCUGAGCUGACACUGACAGAUCAGGGCUGUCCUCAGCAGCACGGUCGUUUCCCGGGGGGGACACCCGUGGCCCCUCAACCGUCAGCUCAGCCGUGACUCCAUCAUCUGAGCGCUGCUGGACACUAAUCUCCAAAGCCAGAAACAGCACAUGCCAAAGUCAGAAAACGUGCAACAGAGAGAUGAACUUUUACAUUUUUCUUCUAUAGUCUGAGUUUUUUGAAGUGUUUUCCCAGAUGCGUUAACAAGAGGAAAGUGAGAUCAGAAACUAGACGAAUCCUCCCUGGUGCAUCGGAGCUCCUGGUGAUGUGCCUUGGAUGCAGCUGCAGACAGCCCAGGCCCUGCCUGUGUGCUGUGGCCAUGUGCCAGGACUGCCUGCAAGGGACAGCAGUGACCCCGGGGUGGGCACAGGGAUUGCCAGCCUCUGGGACAGAUCCAGACACAUUCCUGGGGUGGUCAGGGGCCUCCGGCGGCUCUGGGGCCUCUCGUCACAGGAGCAGGAGCCGCCUCUGUGUCCACAUCACCUGGGGCCACAUCCAGCUCGGCCAGCCCUGGCUGGGGGGCCUUGGACAGACCCUUCAACCUCCCCUGCCCCAGUUCCUGAUCCACACACAGGAAUCCCCAUCAGGUGGCGGUGAGGACUCUUGGAGCUGGAGCGUCCCCAGCACUGGGUGCUCUGCUGCUGUGGGGAGUCCUCUGCUGCUUCUGGCUCCCAGGAUUAGGGGGUGCUGGAUCCCCAUGCACCCUGGGAAGGUGUAGGUAAAGGGGAAUGGCAUUCUGAGGCUGCCACUGAUGCUGCAGGGUGGUGGGCCAGUGGUGAGCCCCCCCACUCUCUCUGCUCACAGAGAGGAACAGAGACACUGAAGAGGGCUGGGGAUGGGAGUGGUUCCAGGUCGACCGGAUGGCCCCAAGAAGACCUCAAUGGAUAGAAAGAUAGAAUCAGAGUAAAUGAAUGUCUUGAGGGGCCCACUGGGGGAGGAGGGUGAUGUGGGAAGUUCCCCAGCCCUGGCUCUGUUGAAGCCCACCCCACCUCAGCUCUGAGACACCACCGGCCUGGACUGUCAGCUUCCUCAGGCCCCUUGCCCUCCAUGGGACUUGCCUGUCACCUGGGUUCUGUUUUAAGUUUUUACAGUUAUUAAGCUCUUGAGCACACCUUGCAUUCUACAUUCGUGAUCUUGUUUUGUUAGUGCAAUUACUCUUGGCCCCAUUUUACAGGAAAGAAAACAGAGGCUCAGAAGGGAAGGCUUCAUCGGGUCUGGGCCUCUGAUGCUGGAGCCCAGGCCUGGCAGGGGCUCCUUCUCUCAAGUGGGGACAAACAGACCCGCCCUGGACAUGCUACCACCAGGCAAGGGGCAGAGCCUGGAUGCCAACGAUUCCCGCCAGCAAGGGAGCUGCGUCCUCCAUCCCUGGCUCUCAGGGAGGACACCCUGGGAGGGCAGCCCAACCCCUGCAGCCUGCCUCGGCCGAGAGCUCAGCCCUGCUCCAGAUGCUCCAGUGCACUGGGGAUUAAAACUCCCCUCUUAACAGAUGAGGUGAAAGGCUGCUAGUCCCCCCAGCCUGGUCUGUACCCCACUUGCCCACACUGCCUCCAACCCCACCAUGUCCACAGUGAGUGGUCAAACAGGGUUGGAAGACUUGGCUGUCUCGGCAGAAACGUGGCCUUGUGUGGGACCGUUUGAGACUCAGAGGCAUCGAGGCAGGUACUCACCUGAAGAGGUGCCAUCACUAAACUUAAACCUACAGAUAACAGAUUUUUUGUUCUGGGUGUUCUGAAGGCCGCUUCCUCGCACCAUCACUGCAUAUUCUCCUGCAAGGACAACAUGGCAUAGGCUUAUGAGGAAGAGUUCUGUGCUGUGUUCCCUCUGGUCCUGCCAUUCAGGCCAGGCCACCCCCAAAGGAUGUCCCAAGGGAGGCAGGAAGGAAGCAGCUGUGUGGGAAACCACCUCCAUGCAUCCUCACUGGGAGGGGGCUGGGCUGGCCUCGUGCCCGGGGGGUCCUCUCACCACCACCUGACUCAUGGAGCCCCUGAAACGUGCCCUGCCUGGCCCCUCCCCAGGGGCAAGCUCAGCCACUGUGUUCUGACCCUGCAAUCCCACAGGGUUCCCUAAAGCCAUGGGGUGAGGCAGUGGACUCAGCCAGGCCUGGCCUGGCAGGUGAGAAAGGAGCUGACAAGGAAGGCCCAAGGCACCCCUGUCUCAUGCCUGAGCUGGGCACCCAGGCCUGGAGGCUGGUGGGACUUCUAAACACUUAAGGGCUCUUCCCACUCCCUGGCAUUUGGUGCCCAGGGCAGCCUGGAGGCACCUAGGACCCUGCUCAGGAGAAUCUGUCAUAGAAGGGGCCGUCCUGUCUCACUGAGGCUCCAGAACACUGGGCAUGAAGUCAGCCCCAUCUCUUCCUGGCCCACCGGGGACCAUUCCCAAGCUCCUGAUCAGGCAGCUGGGGCCUCCCUGGGCUUCACCCCAAGGCAAACACUGCAGCAGAUGUAGGGAGGGGAGCCGGUCCCUGAGUGAGUUGACUGGUGCUCCACACCUGUCUACCGGAACCCCAUUCCACUCCACAGCGUUGCCUCCUGACCCAGGCUGGCUUAUUCCAGCCCCAGGGCUUGAGGGGCCCCAGGGAAGUGAACCUGGGGGGUGCUUCCUCCCAUACCCUGCCUGAUCUAGGACCUGACAGUUCUGAUCCUCCUGCCUCCCUCCCUUCUGCCUCUGCCCCCCAUCUCUCCAGAGCAGAGGUUGCAAAUUCCAGAUCUUCAAGGACAGAGGCAUUCUUGGUCAUUGGGCCAAAGCUGGCCUGCCAACCUGGAAUUUGCAACCUCUGCCCUGGAGAGAGUUCUUUAGGUUUUAAAGUCUUUUCAAAAUAUCGGUGGCCCAACUAAUAACUUGGACAUUUUAUCGAAUAAUCCAGAUUUCUGGAUUUUUUUUGGAAAUGGGAACAUCUGGCCUCAGUGGGUUUGCAUUCCUGCAUUUUGACCACUGUCCAGGGCAUGGGCUGUCCCUGCUUGGACCCCGUGCUGAAGCACCUGCCUUCACACCAGGAUUCCCAUGUGGAUGGCCAGUCUUCAUAGGCUUGGCCUGGCCCACUCCCUUUGCUCGUGGAAGCACUUGGUGGCAGGGACACUGCCCUGGGAGGCUCCUGAGCCAUGGGGGAGCAAGGGGGAGCUCCAAGGGCCAUGUUGCCCAGGUGGCUUGUGCGGAGAAGUCCCACAUGUGGGCCUCCAGGGCAGAAAGAGUGUUGCUCCUCAGUGGUGGUCUUAGCCAUCAAGGUGCUAAAGGCACAAAGCAUCUUCUGGAUGGUCCUUCCCUUCUCAGCCUUCUUCAAGGCCCCUCUGCCCGUAGUUGGACACAGGCUCAUCUUUGCCCUGGAGGGAACACUGAGCCUGUUUCUCCUGCACAGGAUGCUUUUUGACCAGCUGACCCAGCCCAAACUGUGAAGGGAUGCCCCUUCGUCUCAUGGAGACAUCCUAUGAGUAUUUAUUGAAAAGAAGCAUUUUGAAAGGAAAAACUGGAAUUUAACAAAGCAUUAUGAGACCAUAUAGAGCCAGAGAAGGGAAAAUUCAGCUGCUUUCAUGCAGAGAAAUCGGGCUUUAGGUGAGGCAAUGGGAGCUAAAGUAAGCCUUUGUGCCACAAACAAGAAGCCAAGAGGAACCAAAAAUGGGCAAACCUCUGCCAGGCCAAGGCCUGUUCAUCCAAAAGAACAUUCUACACUUCAUGAGCAUUUCCCACAUGUGGGUCUUUUCACAAACAUUCUUCCCUAAACCUCGCAACAACCCUGUGAACUAGGCAUCACUAUCUCAAUUUUUCAUAGAGGGAAACUGAAGCUAAGAGGGCUUUCCAACCAACCACGAUGGCGGCAUGAGAUGCUCUAGGGUUCUGUUCUUCAACAGGAUCUAUGAACAACUAGCAAAAACUGGCAAAGCCAUUUUCCUCAAGCUCAGGAAAACUGUUACACAGUUGCAGUAAAUGGGAGUGCACCAAAUCAGGGAAAUGGCAACUUAAAAACAGUAGGAAAAGCUGCUGGCACUCUUGCUAACCCCUCUGCCAUCCCCUUUCUGGCUCAUAGGCUACCUGUGAGGUUCUCUGUAUCAAGUCUGGAAAGAACAGGGUAACCCCUAUGUGCAUACUGGGCUGCAUGUGUGCAUAUACCAGUGUGAUAGGUGGCAGCAUGAAGGUCUGAAUCAGGACACUCCUCUCUGCUUCACUGAGCGAGAACUUGCCCUGCAUGCAGAAGCAGCUUGUAGGCAGCUCAGGCAGUGUAGGAAACAAUCAAAUCUCAGCAGCCUGGGGUGAAGGAUUACUGCCUUCAAGAAAUACAAUAGAGCUUCCCAGGACUAGAAAGACUAUUUCAUAGAGAAAAAGGGGGGAAUUCAGAUCCCUAUAUAUGGAGGAAUUCGUAAGGCCCACAAGCACAUACCCAGGAAAAGACACAUGCUCAGGAAAGUCUGGAGAGGGCUCUGUACUUUUGCCCUAGACUGUCCUUUAGGUUCACUGUUAGGAGGGCUAAAUUCUAAAGGGGAGCCCCAACCAAUGCAGAGACUAUUUGCAAAGAUGGUGAAAGGUGUAUUUUGCAUUUCUUGGCUUUUUAUCAGCUCCUGACAUUCAAGGAAAUCUAAGUCACACUAAUAGCACUAUACAAACUUAAGGGAUAGCUCAGGGACUAAAUUCCAGAGGCAAUAUGUUAAAAUAUAAAACAUCAGAAAACAUCAAUGAAGAAGACCAGACUUUGAACAUACCAAACACUUUUUAAAAAUGGUUGAAGGGCUGAAGCAAAACAUGGACAGAAGAACUGAAGGGUAUAUGGAAAACAAUAUAUGAACAAAAUGAGAGUUCCAGUAAAUGGAUAGAAAUUAUAAAAGGGAGUCAAAUAAAACACUGGAUAGAAGUGUACAAUAAGGGUGUACAAUAAGGGUGAAAUUAAAAAUUAAAAAGUCCCUAGAGGAUUUCAACAGCAAGGAGUGGCUGGGUUUGGAAUGGCACCAGGAGUGAGAUUCAGAAGCUUCUGGCUAGCCACAGGCUGUCAGGACCACAGGGCUGCCCAGGCCAGGAAACAACCGGUUUCAGACAGGAGAGAGAAUGCUCAGAACCCACCUCAAAGCCCCUCCAGGGUGCACUCAGAACACACAGCAUGGGUCGGUCCCACACAUGGCAGGUGCAGGAAGCCAGACUCUGGGUAUCUGUGGGGAGGCUCAGACAGAGGAAGCAAAAUCCCACAGAUGUUGCUCUAGGUGGUGGGGGCAGGGAGCCUGGGGGGUCCUGAAGGGCUUUUCAGGGAGGCAGGUGAUGCUCUGUGUCUAGACUGUGUUUGGGGUUACACAGGGGUUGCCUCCAUCAAAUGCACCAUUUGGUCCUCUUAGGGUGUGUGCAGCUCACGGAGAGAGCUGAGAGCAGACAUGGUCCCUAGUGGAGGGCAGCAGACCCACGGGAUUAGGGAGAAGGAGCACGUUGUCUGUCACCCAUGGAGUAAGGCA